CAGAGGGAUUGAGGGCCUGCUCAGUGAGUUUACAUGUUAGAGGGAGUGGGGUAUAGUGACAGUAACAGAGGGAUUGAGGGCCCUGCUCAGUGAGUUUCCAUGUUAGAGGGAGUGGGGUAUAGUGACAGUAACAGAGGGAUUGAGGGCCCUGCUCAGUGAGUUUACAUGUUAGAGAGAGUGGGGUAUAGUGACACAGUAACAGAGGGAUUGAGGGCCCUGCUCAGUGAGUUUACAUGUUAGAGGGAGUGGGGUAUAGUGACACAGUAACAG